rnacentral:rRNA from 1 species
CGGACGGGUGAGUAAUGUCUGGGAAACCGCCUGAUGGAGGGGGAUAACUACUGGAAACGGUAGCUAAUACCGCAUAACGUCGCAAGACCAAAGAGGGGGACCUUCGGGCCUCUUGCCAUCGGAUGUGCCCAGAUGGGAUUAGCUAGUAGGUGGGGUAAAGGCUCACCUAGGCGACGAUCCCUAGCUGGUCUGAGAGGAUGACCAGCCACACUGGAACUGAGACACGGUCCAG